rnacentral:rRNA from 1 species
UUCCUACGGGGGGCAGCAGUGAGGAAUAUUGGUCAAUGGGAGAGAUCCUGAACCAGCCAAGCCGCGUGAGGGAAGACGGCCCUAUGGGUUGUAAACCUCUUUUGUCGGAGAACAAAACCCGGGACGUGUCCCGGACUGCGUGUAUCCGAAGAAAAAGCAUCGGCUAACUCCGUGCCAGCAGCCGCGGUAAUACGGAGGAUGCGAGCGUUAUCCGGAUUUAUUGGGCGUAAAGCGAGUGCAGGCGGUUUGAUAAGUCUGAUGUGGAAGUCUUCGGCUCAACCGGAGAAUU